ensembl:lncRNA
GUUUGGUUUGUUGAUGGUUUGAGUUUUACAACGGCAGAGGGACAGACUAAAACAGGGUUUACUGUAGAAGAUAGUGAGAAAGUUAUCUGUGCAGGACAACUAGCAUGUUUCAUAUUUGCUUGAGUAGCAUAGAUGCUAGCUUUAACGGAAGUGUGUAAUGCUGAAGAGUGACAAUAUGCACUGAUAGCUAGCAUGCAUUUGCUACAUUACAUUUCUUUGUGGUGCAGUGGGUGAGACGAGGUGUGACAGCCUCUACAGGGAAACCUGUAGAACAUGCCAAACUCUUGCAAAAUCUGCUGGAGGAAGAGUUAUUACCCAGUAGGAUUGCCGUUUGUAAAUGUGUAGCACACAUGUGAGGGAAAGAUCCAGUUGCAUUAGGGAAUGCUUUUGCAGAUAAGAUCGCGAAAGAGGCAACUUUAGGCGAACAUGGUGUUAACGUUUUAGCAAUGCAACACCAGCGGACGUUGGCUAUUAUGCGGGAUGCACUGGUAGACAUGCAGGGCCACUCAUCUACUGCAGGGAAACAGUUGUGAUUUACAGUAGGAGCGAGCUUGCAGGAUAGUGUUUGUUAUCUGUGUGAUAAACCAAUACUGCCUUAGAAUUUGUAUAAGACUGCUGCUAUUUUGCACCAUGGGCUUUGCCAUGUCGCAACAGGAGGGAGAUAAUGAGUAGUUUAUACUUUAAGAUUAAAUACCCUUAAAAAAAUUUUUUGCAGGUCAUGUAUGAUAUGUUGCAAGCACAAUUCUCGGGGUAAUUUGAGACCUAAGAGAGGGAAAUUCCCCAGAUCCAGUCACCCAUUUCAAGUUAUUCACAUGGACUAUAGAACUGUCCAGCUGUAAUAACUAUGAGUAUUGUUUAGUGAUAGUGUGCCCUUUUUCAAAGUGGGUAGAAAUCGUCCCAACUAGAAAAGCAGAUGCCAUUUCAGUUGCCAAAGCGAUAUGUAAGAAUAUCAUUUGGAACACGGGAUUCCCGAGACCAUUUAUAGUGAUAAUGGUCCACACUUUGUAAAUGAAGGGAUUAGAUUAAUGGCACAACAUCUAGGGAUAACACUAAAAACAUCAUUGUUUAUAUCACCCACAAAAUGCAGGGUUGAUAGAGAGAACUAAUGGAACAGUAAAGUUAAGACUUAGGAAGACAAUGGAAGAGACACGCAGGACAUGGUUAAACUGUAUAGAAUUAGUUAAGAUGUACAUGAGGAUUACUCCAACAGAGAAUGGUCUGACUCAUUGAGAUUAUAUAUAUGUUAGAGUAUUUAGAGUUCUAGUCUUCUGUAGUGAUGAUAGAAGAGCAGAAGAGAGAGCAUAUUAGCAGAUUAGAUGCUUAAAAUGUUUAAAAAUAAAGACGUCUUGAGAACAAAUGAUCUGCCAGAUGAUUCUGUUUCUCCGCAGGAGCAGAGUCUGAAGUCUGGAGAUUGGAUGAUGAUAAGGCCAUGGAGAGGAAGUGCUGGUCCAGUCCACGGUGGGAAGGUCCAUAUCGGAUGCUGCUGACGACGACCACAGCGGUGAAGUUGCUGGAAGGAACACUUGGAUACAUCAAGCGCACUGCAAGAAGGUGACACACAUCCAGGCCAGCUCGGGGUAAGUGGCAGGAAGACCGGGUACAAAGGGGGGGGAAAGCCUCCAGGGCCCCUCGUCUCAAUCCGGUGAAGAAACCAACUGAGCCACAGGUACUCAUCAGAAUGGCUGGGAAUGUGCUGUGCGCCUUCUUGUGCCUGUGGACCCAGAGUGGGAUGACAGGAGCGCACUGGGACAGAGCAAACCACACCCAGUACCCGCAUGGGGUUUUCAACAACUACUGGUGGCAGUUUGUGAACACAACCGCUCACAUAAAGAACAAGACCAAUGGUUAUGCUUGUGAUGCCACUGUCUACACAUUCUUCUGGACUGUGGCCAUAUAGCAUCACUGAGAGUGAGACAGUUUGUUGGUUGCCGUAGCAACACAUCCAGGAGUAAACGUACUUGGAACACUGCCAACUUUUCAACUUCUGAACCUGAUUGGACGGUUGAUUCACCAGUAGCUGGGAAGGUGAACUGCUCUGGUACGACAGACCUGAUAGUCUGACUCCAAGUGUCUGACUUGCUGCAGGAUAUUGAACAGCUAAAUAAACUGGAAGCAGGCCAGUUGCCUAUGUGUAUGAAGGGCAAUGGAUUAGUCCAAGUUGGAGAUUUACCAUGAAAUCUGAGCAACGUCACCUAUUCUUUGUGUCCUCUGCAAGAAGGAUGCAAACAGAGAAGCUUUUUGUCUACAUUUGCAUCAUGAACACUUCUCUAAGCUGGUUGAGGCUUUGAGCCAAGAAGAUCAAAACAGCUUGAUCCAAUUUCCUUUACAAAGCUUUUCCUGUGGUGACAACAGGACAGGAGAAGUUGUAAAUGCGGAUAAUUUACCAGUUGACUCUAACCCCCACAGGAUGCCUAUAGUGAGAAGAUCUGGGGGGGUUGAUAGGAGUCAUAAAGAAGGGUGUUGACCAGGCUACAGCUUUGAAGUUAGCUGAGAGCCACAUGGACAAACAAUAAAGUCAACUGAUGUGUUUGAAUGUCUAUGUCUGUAUACAGUUGGAUUGUAGUGACAUAUGAUUUUUGAGAAUGUUGAUUCUUCUUGUUUGACUGUUACAUUCAGUUGUUUACUUGCAGGAAUACAUAAUGAAUCGCACGAUAGGAGUAGAUGCACCACAAGGCUGGAGAGCUUGGUGAAUGUCUGGUCCUUGGUGGCAUCUUCUUUUGAAAAUAUUAAUUCCUGUUUUUGGACUGUUGACACUGAUUUGCUUACGUGUAGGAUGUAGUUUACUGUGUAUGAGAUCAAUGAGAAGCAGGUUAACUGCUUACAUGUAUUAACUGUGAACUUUUGCAUCGAUAGAAGGUGAAUGAAGAGGAGUUGUGUAUGAAUGAAAUCUACACUGUCACUGUCCAAACAAAGGGUGCAUAAGUUGAAAUUUAAGUAUAUACAAUGACAAAAAGGGGGGAAAUGUUAGGUCUAAUUGUUGAAUGUUGCCAUUGUGUUUCUUAAAUUUGUACAGUCUUAGUUCAAGCAGUAUUAUCAAAGCCAUUCCUUUGAUCCUGAGCACCUCUAACCACUCUGUGUUAGAGGUUACAUAUAAAAGUUCACAUAUACAUACAAUGCCUUAGAACCAUGUGGGCGUUGCUUUGCUGUGUGAACUGUCUCUCAAUAAAAGGCAGCGAGAGGAGGCCGGAUUUGGGGUCAUUUUCGUGCUGGACACAGAUGAGGCCUCCCUUGCGCAAGUAAUCGAUCGAUCGCUGACUGUCUUGUUUUCAUUCAUGAUGAAUAAGUCUCUAGAACUAGCGGGGUUUGUGGGAACAGACCCAACAUGGUCCAACAGGGAUGACAGCUUAGCCACCAUUCUCCUGUCACUCACCACCUCCACUGGGUCCAGAGGGCAUCCUAGAACAGAGCUGGCCCUCCAAAUCAGCCCGUUCAGUCUCUUUCUGCCCCCAGCAGAGAUGCAUCCGCCCCAGCAGACCACCCCAUAAAAGAUGGCUGAGGUCACCACAGAGUCAUAAAAGGUCUUCAGGAGUGGGCCCUUCACUCCAAAAGACCUGAGCGUCCGCUGCAGGUACAGCCUGCUCUGCCCUUUUCUGUAGAGAGCACCUGAAUUGCGAGUCCAGUCCAGUUUAUUGUUCAGAUGAAGACCAAGGUACCUGUAGCUAUCCUGUAGCUAUUACACUCACAUGCAGGGGAUUUGUGCUCUCAGCAGGAAAUCUUGUGCAGCUGUGUCUGUGUGUGGUGGGGUGAGAGUAUGACGCACAAAAGCAGACAAGGAAUUCAACUUCCUCUUGGUGGUGACAGAGCAACAUAAACAGGGACUGAACAGUCGGUACUGCACUCAUAAAGACUGAAUGAACCAGCAUUGCAGCCAUGGGUCAUUGUUAGCAUCAUCGGGAAGGUUGAAGCCGCCCACUGCACCUGUAUGGCCAGAGUCGCGGACACCUGCAGCCAUGUCGCUGCUCUUCUGUUUAAAGUAGAAGCAACAGUGUUGAUCCGUGGCACAAGGACUGUUACAGAUGAACCUGCAUACUGGGUUUUGCCGGGUAAUAAGACCAAGAUACAGCCAGAGGUUGGCCAUAAGAUAGACUUCUCCUCUUUAACUGCCCCAAAAAGCCUCUCGAUCAAAACAUAAACAGCAUGAAUAAUAUAUUUAAAGCUAUGUUGGACAGAAGAAAAGUAUAUAUUUCUUAGACAACGCGAAAUCUGCACAAAGAUAACAUUUUCAUGUCAUAAUAUUCUUUC